GCUCGCUUUGGCAGCACGUGCACUACAAAGUGGAACGAUACAGAGAAGUUUAGCACGGCCCCUGCACACGGUUUUCAUUUCCUUUACAUUUAAGAGAAUUUU